UCCCUGGUGGUCCAGUGGUUAGGACUCUGUGCUUCCAACGCAGGGGACUCGGGUUCAAUUCCUGGUCGAGGAA
rnacentral:tRNA from 1 species